UACGUAGGUGACCAGCGUUGUCCGGAUUUACUGGGCGUAAAGAGCGCGCAGGCGGUCGUUCAAGUCGCGUGUGAAAGCCCCCCGGCUCAACUGGGGAGGGUCACGCGAUACUGAUCGACUCGAAAGGCAGGAGAGGGUAGUGGAAUUCCCGGUGUAGUGGUGAAAUGCGUAGAUAUCGGGAGGAACACCAGUGGCGAAGGCGACUACCUGGCCUGUUCUUGACGCUGAGGCGCGAAAGCUAGGGGAGCAAACGGG
rnacentral:rRNA from 1 species